UUCCCAGAAUGCUUCUUUCCUCUGUCUUCCUGUCAGCAGACUACACCAAAACCUGAAUGAGACUGAAUGUGUACAGUAAUGUUUCAUCU